UCCAUCUGGAUCGUCAAAGAGGAACAAGGAGCUGGUUUAGUUCAGUGUUGAGCCAACGGUCCUCCUUCUUAAUAACAGUGGCAGCCAUAUGCUUUUCAUUGGAUUUCAAAGAGUGCACUUUCAUUUCAAGUGGAAAAACUAAUAUUUCCAUCGACUGGAACAGGAUGCUGUUGUUUAAAAAAAGGUGUAAGGAUGGGGAGGAAUGGAAACGCAACGUACGUGUUCCUCGGUGAUGAACCGGACGUCACCAACGUGGAUGAUCUUCCCAUCGUGGCCAACAGUCGCCACGGAAAUCGAAUCCUCGCAAACCUCUGAGGCAACAUAUUUCUCUACUUUAAAGCCGAGAUCCUUCAGCACCAGGGAUGGACGGAUAAACCCGGUGAGGCUCCUACAAAGAAAAACCAACAACAAUGUAGGAACUGAGUCAGUGGGACUCCUCAGAAAGGGAAAGGUGUAUUUGUAUGAUGUAUUGUGUGUAUUUGUGUUGGACUUCUGUCUGCAAAGCAAAUUGCCCCUCAGGUACA